GGGGGUGCCGGGCUUCGACAGAAGCUUGCGGUUACGCCGGCAUACCGAGGCGGCCUCAGACCUCGUUAAUAGAUGGGGCAACUUAAUAAGUGCCAACUUAUUUUCAAAAGUAAAAUCCGUAAUAGCUAGCGCUUUCGGCGAAGGCUGUUGCAAUUUUGCUCCGGUCGCAGCUUAGGCUGUAACCCAUCGUCUACGCUAUACUCUGUAACGUAAAACGGUGUCACUCACAGAGAGUAGGUUUAAAUUACUGCCCGUUGAUUUAAACCGAAAGACUCACAGGCUCGUGAUUGGUCGCUUUUGCUUUUUUAUCAGGCCAAUCAUCAGAUAAUUAAAAAAGCUAAGUAUGUAGAAGACGUAAUCAAAGUUAUCUAGACGCGAGUUCAACUCUCGCCACCUCCACAG
rnacentral:tmRNA from 1 species